ACUGCAGCUCAAACUGCUCCAUCUGAAUCUGCACAGGUGCAGUUUCCACGUCGACGGCAAAUGGGUUGCGAAGCAACUCGAAAUUGUUUUAUUGUGCUUCGAAGUCACCAAAGCGCCGUGCGAACUCAAUGCGCAGUGCGCUCAGUUUAUCAGCAAAGUGCGCAUUUAAUUGUUUAAAAACUUGUUUAACACGGGAAGCGUUCGGCAAGGCAACUGAAGCGCUGCAUUAUGGGAUCUGUAGUUUAUUGUGUUAUCAGUGCUUCGUAUCGCCGGGCCACUAAUGACAGUAAUAUAAAAUGAUCUCUCCGGAUAUAAUUGCACGCCGGGCCGGAUGUGGCCCGCGGGCCUUGAGUUUGACACAUAUGGUCUAGGGCAUUGCUCAUACUUCUACUAGUACUUCUAAUAAUUAAUUAAUUAUAAUAAUUAUAAUAAUAAUUAAAUUCUUGUGACUUAAAUUCGGACAAUUUACUUGAUUUCAAAAUACAGAUGUUCUAUCAGUUCACCAAUUUCACCACAGGGUGGCAGUCUUGUAGGCUACUCUAUCAUUUGAGUGCACGGUUUUCACCUAGCAGCAUGAGGUCAAAAUCCCCACCCCUCGCCUCUUAAACAGAGAGCGGCGCAAAGAGACGGCACUUCAGAAUUCAGCGGAGGAUCAUCAGGUAGUCAGCGGUGUAAUUUGUUCGUUAUUCAUAAAAACUCAAAGGAAUCAGCAAAAGGUAACCCUUGAAACGCAGUGUUCCUUGGCGUAAUCGACAGCUGUUGAAGUGGCAUAAAAUGGACAGACCUGACCGCCGAAUUGUCUACUGCCUAAUAUGCAGGAAGCCUUACGAAAAUUUAUCCACACACCUCAAAAAGGCCUGCAUGAAAAAACAGACAGAUGAAGUACAAAAGCAACAGCUCAUCAAAGCCAAGCAGUCCCAAAAAGACUGGACAAAGGUGGCCAGGACAUGGGAGUACAGUGAGAUUGCUGCUUUGAUAAAGAGCCCAGAUCCCUGCCGUGCAAUUAUUGAGCGGAUGAAGAGCAAGGGGUUUUUUGUCGUCAAUGACCCGGCACACUCCACGGCAGACGCUUCGCUUUUUGACGUUUGUGGAGAAAACUGUUCGUUCACGACCAGUCCUGCUUUCAUUGAACCACGGCGGUCAUCUUGGGCA